rnacentral:misc_RNA from 1 species
GGUGAAGAACGUAGCAAAAUGCGAUAAGUAAUGUGAAUUGCAGAAUUCAGUGAAUCAUCGAAUCUUUGAACGCACAUUGCGCCCGCCAGUAUUCUGGCGGGCAUGCCUGUUCGAGCGUCAUUUCAACCCUCAAGCACAGCUUGGUGUUGGGACUCGCGUUAAUUCGCGUUCCCCAAAUUGAUUGGCGGUCACGUCGAGCUUCCAUAGCGUAGUAGUAAAACCCUCGUUACUGGUAAUCGUCGCGGCCACGCCGUUAAACCCCAACUUCUGAAUGUUGACCUCGGAUCAGGUAGGAAUACCCGCUGAACUUAAGCAUAUCAAUAAGCGGAGGA